AACGAACGCUGGCAGCAUGCCUAACACAUGCAAGUCGAACGAGACCUUCGGGUCUAGUGGCGCACGGGUGCGUAACGCGUGGGAACCUGCCCUUAGGUUCGGAAUAACUCCCCGAAAGGGGUGCUAAUACCGGAUAAUGUCUUCGGACCAAAGAUUUAUCGCCUUUGGAUGGGCCCGCGUUGGAUUAGCUAGUUGGUAGGGUAAAAGCCUACCAAGGCGACGAUCCAUAGCUGGUCUGAGAGGAUGAUCAGCCACACUGGGACUGAGACACGGCCCAGACUCCUACGGGAGGCAGCAGUGGGGAAUAUUGGACAAUGGGCGAAAGCCUGAUACAGCAAUGCCGCGUGAGUGAUGAAGGCCUUAGGGUUGUAAAGCUCUUUUACACGGGAUGAUAAUGACAGUACCGGGAGAAUAAGCUCCGGCUAACUCCGUG
rnacentral:rRNA from 1 species